rnacentral:rRNA from 1 species
CACUCCUACGGGAGGCAGCAGUGGGGAAUAUUGGACAAUGGGCGCAAGCCUGAUCCAGCCAUGCCGCGUGAGUGAUGAAGGCCCUAGGGUUGUAAAGCUCUUUCACCGGUGAAGAUAAUGACGGUAACCGGAGAAGAAGCCCCGGCUAACUUCGUGCCAGCAGCCGCGGUAAUACGAAGGGGGCUAGCGUUGUUCGGAUUUACUGGGCGUAAAGCGCACGUAGGCGGACUAUUAAGUCAGGGGUGAAAUCCCGGGGCUCAACCCCGGAACUGCCUUUGAUACUGGUAGUCUUGAGUUCGAGAGAGGUGAGUGGAAUUCCGAGUGUAGAGGUGAAAUUCGUAGAUAUUCGGAGGAACACCAGUGGCGAAGGCGGCUCACUGGCUCGAUACUGACGCUGAGGUGCGAAAGCGUGGGGAGCAAACAGGAUUAGAUACCCCUGUAGUCCCAUG